rnacentral:rRNA from 1 species
UACGUAGGGUGCAAGCGUUGUCCGGAAUUAUUGGGCGUAAAGAGCUCGUAGGCGGUUUGUCACGUCGGAUGUGAAAACCCGGGGCUUAACCCCGGGCCUGCAUUCGAUACGGGCUGACUAGAGUUCGGCAGGGGAGACUGGAAUUCCUGGUGUAGCGGUGAAAUGCGCAGAUAUCAGGAGGAACACCGGUGGCGAAGGCGGGUCUCUGGGCCGAUACUGACGCUGAGGAGCGAAAGCGUGGGGAGCGAACAGG